CAGUAAGUAGUUUAAUUUAAAAAUAUUAAUUUUGGGGAUUAAUGAUGUGUGUUUGCUCUUUACUGA
rnacentral:tRNA from 1 species